CCUACGGGCGGCUGCAGUGGGGAAUAUUGGACAAUGGGGGGAACCCUGAUCCAGCCAUGCCGCGUGUGUGAAGAAGGCCCUCGGGUUGUAAAGCACUUUCAGUGAGGAAGAACGCCUGGUGGUUAAUACCCAUCAGGAAAGACAUCACUCACAGAAGAAGCACCGGCUAACUCCGUGCCAGCAGCCGCGGUAAUACGGAGGGUGCGAGCGUUAAUCGGAAUUACUGGGCGUAAAGCGCGCGUAGGUGGCUUGAUAAGCCGGUUGUGAAAGCCCCGGGCUCAACCUGGGAACGGCAUCCGGAACUGUCAAGCUAGAGUGCAGGAGAGGAAGGUAGAAUUCCCGGUGUAGCGGUGAAAUGCGUAGAGAUCGGGAGGAAUACCAGUGGCGAAGGCGGCCUUCUGGACUGACACUGACACUGAGGUGCGAAAGCGUGGGUAGCAAACAGGAUUAGAUACCCUGGUAGUC
rnacentral:rRNA from 1 species